rnacentral:misc_RNA from 1 species
ACCAGGCACUCCUGGCCUCGACGUCACACCCCAUAAGGGGUGUGACAUCGAGGCUCCGGUCGGAGUUUAGAGCUCA